ACUUUUCUGAAGACCAGCCAGAGCAAGGAAGAACAGGAGGGCAGGGGCUAAGGAGAGAGGGAAGAGAAGAUCCAAAUCUAAUUGCAUUGGCCUUCAGCCUCACUAGGGCUCCAUGCUCCCAGAGGUGGUGAUACACUUGUAUUCAGCAGCCGUCACUGAUCUUGCUUGUAAAAGUCCUAUUUCGACAUGGGCGUGCUUUCCUGAGGUUUGAGUCUCUGGAAUUACCCUAAUUUUCCUCUGGAUUUUGCAGUUAUGGAGAUCUGAGAACACCCCACUGGCUGGAAUGAUGCCUCCCAUGCAAAGGAGUGUUAACUAAUUUAGUUUUCCCAGUUGGAAUACCACAACCUAAACAUAUGGAUUUAUCUUGAAACCAGGAAGCCUGACAUACACUGCUGCCAAAACAAAGGAGAAAAUGCAACGUUUUGUCCUGUAAUGAGACAGCAAAGAAGCGCGGGUCCAGAAGCAUCUCUACUGCAUCUCUUAAUGGACCAAAUGUUUGUGUCCCCCAAAAUGUCUAUGUUGAAGCCCUAACCUCGACGUGACUGUAUUUGGAGGAAUGCACAUCAAUAGCAGGUUAAACAAUGGUGGCGCUUCUGUGCAAUGGGACACCGUGGUGGCGUAAAAGGAGAGAAGCAGCUUUACGUGGACUGAUGUGGAAAGGUGCCCACUAUUGAGCCAAGUUGAAAAAAAGAAGGCAAAGUGAAAGCAGCAUUAUGUAU
rnacentral:lncRNA from 1 species